rnacentral:rRNA from 1 species
UCCGGUUGAUCCUGCCGGACCCGACUGCUAUUUGGGUGAGAAUAAGCCAUGCAAGUUGAAUGGAAUACCAAAAUAUUCCAUGGCAAACUGCUCAAUAACACGUGAUCAACUUACCCUAUGGAAAACAAUAACCUCUGGAAACGGAGGAUAAUGGUUUAUAGUUGAAAAGGCUUGGAAAAGUUUUUCAAUAAAAGGGAAUAAUAAAAAUGGUUAUUAUUUUGCCAUAGGAUAGGAUUGCGGUCGAUUAUGGCUGUUGGUGAGGUAAUGGCUCACCAAACCAAUAAUCGAUAGGGGCCGUGAGAGCGGGAGCCCCGAGAUGGGUACUGAGACAACGACCCAGGCCUUACGAGGUGCAGCAGGCGCGAAAACUCCGCAAUACACGAAAGUGUGACGGGGUUACCCAAAGUGCUUAAUUUUUAAGCUGUGGUAAGUGUGUAAUGUACCUUACUAGAAAGGAGAGGGCAAGGCUGGUGCCAGCCGCCGCGGUAAAACCAGCUCUUCAAGUGGUCGGGAUAUUUAUUGGGCUUAAAGUGUCCGUAGCUUGUAUAAUAAGUUCCUGGUAAAAUCUAAUAGCUUAACUAUUAGUAUGCUAGGAAUACUGUUAUACUAGAGGGCGGGAGAGGUUUGAGGUACUUCAGGGGUAGGGGUGAAAUCCUAUAAUCCUUGAAGGACCACCAGUGGCGAAGGCGUCAGACUGGAACGCGCCUGACAGUGAGGGACGAAAGCCAGGGGAGCGAACCGGAUUAGAUACCCGGGUAGUCCUGGCCGUAAACGAUGCACACUAGGUGUUGGUAUGGCUAUGAGCCAUAUCAGUGCCGAAGGGAAACCAUUAAGUGUGCCGCCUGGGAAGUACGGUCGCAAGGCUAAAACUUAAAGGAAUUGGCGGGGGAGCAC